rnacentral:tRNA from 1 species
GCCUGGGUGGCUCAGUCGGUUGAGCGUCGGACUUCGGCUCAGGUCAUGAUCUCACAGUUUGUGGGUUCGAGCCCCGCGUCGGGCU